UCAGAUAUCCCCACCCCAUAUCUUAGGUUUCCAUUACUUCCCAAUCAGGGUCCUGACCUUGGAGUAGUAAAUGGGCCAACGAAGUGAGAACAAAACCUCUCCUUGAGUUCUGAUACUCUCAAAUUAAGUCCUGGAUCUAAUCCCAAAUUUUUCUUGUCCUCUGGUUGUAAAAGAUGACAGUCAUUUUUAUACACUGCUGAGGAGGCCCCCGCUUGGACACAAACACUUUAAUUGGUGAUUAAUCACUCAGCUGUUUACUGUCUGCCCCUAAAUCAUUGAUUGAUCCCAGCAAUGUGCAUCCAAAUAGCUGACAUAUUGCAUCAGCCUGUGUGUUCCCUUCCACGAGUCCACAGGCCCAGAUCUCCACUGGUGAAAGUUUUAACAAUUGGACUGCUACCUAUGCGAGGAGCCUUCCAUGCUUCCCCUACCAGUGAGGGGGUCCUUACGGCAGGCAGGCCAACUCUUCAUCCUUAUACAAAAUCCCACUUCAGAGUCUCCUUCCUCAGACCACACCGGGGUCUUGGGCAGCAGAAUCUGAGACAGAGAAUCAGGUGCAGGAAGUUCAUUGGAGAGUGUGUGAGUUCAACCUCUAGAGGGAAUGAAUGAAGCAAGAUUGGGCUCCUGGAGAAGGUGACUACAACACUCUUGCAACAAAAGCCUCAGCCACUUCUAAGGCCUUUAACGUCUUAAUUGACCAAUCGUUGGACACAGGUAAGGGGCGGUGAGCCUCUGGUGAGAGGACCGUCUUCAAUGAAAGGCAAUUACUGGAGACAGGUGCAACUGAGAACUGUUGGUCAUCAACACACCCAGUAAGUGAAGAGUGAGCGCUUCUAUCCUGGAGCAGGAUCUGGGCCAGCACCCAGCACUUUCAAACAUUCAGUGAGAGUGAAGAGGGACCCCAUUCCUGACCUGUGGAGUGACGAGGAAGGCACUGGAUGUUCUCUCCAGGAGAGAGGUUCAGUGACCUUAGGGAAUGGCUGACGACCAGAGGAUACCUGGAAAGGAAUGUUGGAUAAUAUCCAAAAAAUAUAUAAAGAAAAAAUCUAAAAGUCACCUAUAAGACACCUCUCCAAGGGUUAUUGCAAAGAGCAAAGGAGAUAAUGGACAUGAAAAUACUUUGUAAAUUGCGAAGGUUAUUCUAGAGGUUCCCACUGGAGUUCUGGAUUCCCAGGAUACACAGCAACCAGCUGUAUGGGACUUUGGAAGAUAAUGGUCACCCUCUCCCCUUUGGCCUCCUCUUUCCUUUUCCACUCUAAACUACAGCUGUCUCAGGCAAUGACUACAGAUUCUGCUUUGGGAUUUAGAUUCGGAGGAAAAGGGAGGAGGGAGAAAUAAAAAGAUUAUGAAAUUCGGCCAAAAGAAUAAGAAAGGGUAAAAUCAGGGGAAAUUCACCUGUCUGAUGCAAAGUUAAACUGCUGGCUUUAAUGUGACUGCAUGGGAACUUGGGUUUAUUAAUGAAUACAACAUACCCUCUUUGAUUUGAAAGCUUUCACCCUGCUGAAAAGAUUCAAAAGGCAUCGCUUCCUGCACCAGCGGCAUUCCUUUAUCCGUCUCAGUGGUUCACCCCUACCCAGCUGCUAUAUCUCAUUAACAAGCAUUUGACCACUGCAGCCGGCCUGGGAGUGUUGACACUUGAAAGGCCCAGGCAGGCGUGGGCAGGCCAUCAGCUAUGGCAACAGGAAACUGCCCCGGAGACAACACUGAGAAAACAGCAGCUGCAAGAGCCAAAGUCAGAACAGACAUAAAGGGUUGCCUAUAUCCACGUCGGUCUGGGGUAUCGGUGCGUGCCUGUGGGCCUGAAUUCACACGUCUAUUUACUAUAUUUAUGGGAUAUAAAGGUUGCUAUCAACAUGUCUCUAACACUGGACUUGCUGACAACACAGAAUGAUUUUUUGACUUUCAGUGUUCUCGAAUCCUCAGGUUUCCAGAAUCUUCCUCAUCUCCUUUUAAUGUAACUUCUUGUUUAUGCACAUAAGGACGUUCACUAGAGGCCUUAAACUUGAUAGACACGUUCACUCUGGUGAAAGUCACAGUGACAAUAAAAAAUAUAUAUGCCUGAAUCCUUACCCAUUUUUCAUGCUACCACAUUAUUUUUAAAAACAAGUCAACUUGUAAAACUGUCACAUAAAUACGUAAGAUUACUCUGAAAGUCUUUGGCUUAGGAAUCAAACUGUGAUGGUUUUAUGUAGAAUAUUUAAGAAUGAAACAGUCAUUUCAAUUGUGUAAAGGUAGCUCAUAAAAUUGUGGGAUGUUCCACUUAUUAUUGAUCAUAAUAAUUUCAAAUACCUAUGUUAAUAAAAUUCAUUUACUAUUCUUUGAAUUGUAGGCUACACAGCAUCACACCCUUGAAUCUACUUCUAAAUGUUGUUUCUAUAUUCAUCUGAGGAGCUCAAAGUACACAUACCAAUUGGAAUGUUUCAUGCAAUGUUUGGGGCAAGUAUUUCUCCAAAUCUGGUGUGUCUCUGUCCAAGCCUAUAAGAGCGUUUUUAGAGGAUAGGUAAGCAAUAGUUCAAAAUCAAAGUUUUUCAUCCAGAAGGAAAAUGACCCUUUUCAAAACAGGAAAAAGAGGUCACUCCAUAUUAGGGGAGAAAAGAAAGCUAAAUGAAAAAAGACACUAAUACAAUGUGUUAUAAGUGAAAGUAGUUGACUGCCACUCAAAGACUAGUGAAUUAUUUUCCUGUCAUCAUCA
rnacentral:lncRNA from 1 species